rnacentral:tRNA from 1 species
GGAAGCGUGGCAGAGUGGUUGAAUGCACCGGUCUUGAAAACCGGCGGGGCUUUACGGCCCUCGUGAGUUCGAAUCUCACCGCUUCCGCCA